UACGGAGGGUGCGAGCGUUGUCCGGAAUCAUUGGGCGUAAAGGGCGCGUAGGUGGCCCGGUCAGUUCGUGGUGAAAGCGCGGGGCUCAACCCUGCGUCGGCCAUGAAUACUGCCGCGGCUGGAGCACUGUAGAGGCAGGCGGAAUUCCGGGUGUAGCGGUGGAAUGCGUAGAGAUCCGGAAGAACACCGGUGGCGAAGGCAGGUCACUGGGCCGCAACUGACGCUGAGGAGCGAAAGCAUGGGGAGCGAACAGG
rnacentral:rRNA from 1 species